rnacentral:rRNA from 1 species
CCUACGGGUGGCUGCAGUGAGGAAUAUUGGUCAAUGGACGAAGGUCUGAACCAGCCAAGUAGCGUGAGGGAUGACGGCCCUAUGGAUUGUAAACUUCUUUUGUAAGGGAGUAAAACGCGCCACGUGUGGCUUUUUGCGUGUACCUUAUGAAUAAGCAUCGGCUAACUCCGUGCCAGCAGCCGCGGUAAUCCGGAGGAUCCGAGCGUUAUCCGGAUUUAUUGGGUUUAAAGGGGGCGCGGGGGGAUUGUCAAGUCAGCGGUAAAAUUUUGGGGCUCAACCGUGUCGUGCCGUUGAUACUGGCGUUCGUGAGUAAACGAGAGGUAUGCGGAAUGCGUGGUGUAGCGGUGAAAUGCUUAGAUAUCACGCAGAACCCCGAUUGCGAAGGCAGCUUAC